UGCAAGUCGAACGGACUUUACAUGAAGCCUAGCGAUUGUAAAGUUAGUGGCGGACGGGUGAGUAACGCGUGAAUAACCUGCCCUGUACCGGGGGACAACAGUUGGAAACGGCUGCUAAUACCGCAUAAGCGCACGGUUCCGCAUGGAACAGUGUGAAAAACUCCGGUGGUACAGGAUGGAUUCGCGUCUGAUUAGCCAGUUGGUGGGGUAACGGCCUACCAAAGCAACGAUCAGUAGCCGGCCUGAGAGGGUGAACGGCCACAUUGGGACUGAGACACGG
rnacentral:rRNA from 1 species